AAAUUUUAGUGUAAAGGUACGCAAUAGAUCUUUAGAGUACAGUAAUGUACCCCAAAAGGUACAACAUUGUGUUAUGUUUUGUAUACCUGUAAAGGUGGAACCUUAGCAGCGACAGAAAAUGUACAGUUUUGUAGCUUUUUCUGACAGAGUUUGCAACACACAUGCCAAAUAAAUAAAAUAAGAAUAAAAGGUGUAAAAAAAAUCAACAAA